rnacentral:rRNA from 1 species
UGUCAGCAGCCGCGGUAAUACGUAGGGGGCGAGCGUUGUCCGGCAUUAUUGGGCGUAAAGCGCGCGCAGGCGGUCCUUUAAGUCUGAUGUGAAAGCCCACGGCUCAACCGUGGAGGGUCAUUGGAAACUGGGGGACUUGAGUGCAGGAGAGGAGAGCGGAAUUCCACGUGUAGCGGUGAAAUGCGUAGAGAUGUGGAGGAACACCAGCGGCGAAGGCGGCUCUCUGGCCUGUAACUGACGCUGAGGCGCGAAAGCGUGGGGAGCAAACAGGAUUAGAAACCCGAGUAGUCC